CUGGCUCAGGAUGAACGCUAGCUACAGGCUUAACACAUGCAAGUCGAGGGGAAACGAUAUUGAAAGCUUGCUUCUUAGGCGUCGACCGGCGAAUGGGUGAGUAACGCGUAUCCAACCUGCCCCUGAGUAAGGGAUAGCCCAUCGAAAGAUGGAUUAAUACCUUAUGGUUUCCUUUGAAGGCAUCGGAUUAGGAAUAAAGAUUUAUCGCUGAGGGAUGGGGAUGCGUCUGAUUAGCUUGUUGGCGGGGUAACGGCCCACCAAGGCGACGAUCAGUAGGGGUUCUGAGAGGAAGGUCCCCCACAUUGGUACUGAGACACGGACCAAACUCCUACGGGAGGCAGCAGUGAGGAAUAUUGGUCAAUGGGCGCAAGCCUGAACCAGCCAAGUAGCGUGCAGGAUGACUGCCCUAUGGGUUGUAAACUGCUUUUAUACGGGGAUAAAGUCAGGGUCGUGACCCUGUUUGCAGGUACCGUAUGAAUAAGGACCGGCUAAUUCCGUGCCAGCCGCCGC
rnacentral:rRNA from 1 species